AUUGAACGCUGGCGGCAUGCCUUACACAUGCAAGUCGAACGGCAGCGCGGGGCAACCUGGCGGCGAGUGGCGAACGGGUGAGUAAUAUAUCGGAACAUACCCUAGAGUGGGGGAUAACGUAGCGAAAGUUACGCUAAUACCGCAUACGCACUAAGGUGGAAAGUGGGGGAUCUUCGGACCUCAUGCUCAUGGAGUGGCCGAUAUCUGAUUAGCUAGUUGGUGAGGUAAAGGCUCACCAAGGCGACGAUCAGUAGCUGGUUUGAGAGAACGACCAGCCACACUGGAACUGAGACACGGUCCAGACUCCUACGGGAGGCAGCAGUGGGGAAUUUUGGACAAUGGGCGCAAGCCUGAUCCAGCAAUGCCGCGUGCAGGAUGAAGGCCUUCGGGUUGUAAACUGCUUUUGUACGGUAACGAAACAGCUCUUUCUAAUACAGAGGGCGAAUGACGGUACCGUAAGAAUAAG
rnacentral:rRNA from 1 species